GUAGUCCACGCCGUAAACGGUGGGAACUAGGUGUGGGGGUCCUUCCACGACCUCUGUGCCGCAGCUAACGCAUUAAGUUCCCCGCCUGGGGAGUACGGCCGCAAGGCUAAAACUCAAAGGAAUUGACGGGGGCCCGCACAAGCGGCGGAGCAUGCUGAUUAAUUCGAUGCAACGCGAAGAACCUUACCAAGGCUUGACAUGUACAGGAAACUUCCAGAGAUGGUUGCCCCGCAAGGUCUGUAUACAGGUGGUGCAUGGUUGUCGUCAGCUCGUGUCGUGAGAUGUUGGGUUAAGUCCCGCAACGAGCGCAACCCUCGUCCUAUGUUGCCAGCACGUGAUGGUGGGGACUCAUAGGAGACUGCCGGGGUCAACUCGGA
rnacentral:rRNA from 1 species